rnacentral:rRNA from 1 species
GAUGAACGCUGGCGGCGUGCCUAAUACAUGCAAGUCGAGCGAACAGACGAGGAGCUUGCUCCUCUGACGUUAGCGGCGGACGGGUGAGUAACACGUGGAUAACCUACCUAUAAGACUGGGAUAACUUCGGGAAACCGGAGCUAAUACCGGAUAAUAUAUUGAACCGCAUGGUUCAAUAGUGAAAGACGGUUUUGCUGUCACUUAUAGAUGGAUCCGCGCCGCAUUAGCUAGUUGGUAAGGUAACGGCUUACCAAGGCGACGAUGCGUAGCCGACCUGAGAGGGUGAUCGGCCACACUGGAACUGAGACACGGUCCAGACUCCUACGGGAGGCAGCAGUAGGGAAUCUUCCGCAAUGGGCGAAAGCCUGACGGAGCAACGCCGCGUGAGUGAUGAAGAUCUUCGGAUCGUAAAACUCUGUUAUUAGGGAAGAACAAAUGUGUAAGUAACUAUGCACGUCUUGACGGUACCUAAUCAGAAAGCCACGGCCAACUACGUG